rnacentral:rRNA from 1 species
AUUGAACGCUGGCUACAGGCCUAACACAUGCAAGUCGAACGCGUCGCGGACGCGUGAGUGUUAUCUGUAAACCUGCUCGCUGGAGCUGGAUAACUACUGUAAACGGUAGCUAAUACCGCAUACCAUCGGAUGUGCCCAGAUGGGAUUAGCUAGUUGGUGGGGUAACGGCUAACCUAGGCGACGAUCCCUAGCUGGUCGGAGAGGAUGACAAGCCACACUGGAAAUGAGACACGGACCAGACUCCUACGGGAGGCAGCAGUGGAGAAAAUUGCACAAGGGGAUGAAGGCUGAUGCAGCCAUGCCGAGUGGAUGAAGAAGGCAUUCGGGUUGGAAAGUACUUUCAGCGGGGAGGCGUUAUCCGAAGAAGAAGCACCGGCUAACUCCGUGCCAGCAGCCGCGGUAAUAC